CCUACGGGAGGCAGCAGUGGGGAAUAUUGCACAAUGGGCGCAAGCCUGAUGCAGCAACGCCGCGUGAGGGACGACGGCCUUCGGGUUGUAAACCUCUUUUAGUAGGGAAGAAGCGAAAGUGACGGUACCUGCAGAAAAAGCACCGGCUAACUACGUGCCAGCAGCCGCGGUAAUACGUAGGGUGCAAGCGUUAUCCGGAAUUAUUGGGCGUAAAGAGCUCGUAGGCGGUUUGUCGCGUCUGCUGUGAAAACUGGAGGCUCAACCUCCAGCCGGCAGUGGGUACGGGCAAACUAGAGUGCGGUAGGGGAGAUUGGAAUUCCUGGUGUAGCGGUGGAAUGCGCAGAUAUCAGGAGGAACACCGAUGGCGAAGGCAGAUCUCUGGGCCGUAACUGACGCUGAGGAGCGAAAGCAUGGGGAGCGAACAGGAUUAGAUACCCUGGUAGUCCAUGCCGUAAACGUUGGGCGCUAGAUGUGGGGACCAUUCCACGGUUUCCGUGUCGCNGCUACGACAUAGCGCCCGCCGUCGGGAGGUACGGCCGCGAGGACGUAAACUACAAGGAAAGUUAGACGGCGUGAGACGUGCCGAACGGACGACCGACCGAGGGAGGUAGG
rnacentral:rRNA from 1 species